rnacentral:rRNA from 1 species
GACGAACGCUGGCGGCGCGCUUAACACAUGCAAGUCGAACGGAAAGGCCUGCUUUCCCUUGUGGAUUGCGGGUACUCGAGUGGCGAACGGGUGAGUAACACGUGAGUGAUCUGCCCCCAACUUGGGUAUAAGCCUGGGAAACUGGGUCUAAUUCCCGAUAGGACUGCAGGGUGGUGCCUGUGGUGGAAAACGAGUUUCUAGUGGUUGGGGAUGAGCUCGCGGCCUAUCAGCUUGUUGGUGGGGUAAUGGCCUACCAAGGCGGCGACGGGUAGCCGGCCUGAGAGGGUGGACGGCCACAUUGGGACUGGGAUACGGCCCCGACUCCUGCGGGAGGCAGCAGUUGGGAAUCUUACACAAUGGGCGGAAGCCUGAUGCAGCGACGCCGCGUGGGGGAUGACGGCCUUCGGGUUGUAAACUCCUUUCGACCGCGAGGAAGCCACCUGGUUGGAAGGGUGGUGACGUUAGUGGUAGAAGAAGCACCGGCUAACUACGUG